rnacentral:rRNA from 1 species
UACGUAGGGCGCAAGCGUUGUCCGGAAUUAUUGGGCGUAAAGAGCUCGUAGGCGGCUUGUCACGUCGGGUGUGAAAGCCCGGGGCUUAACCCCGGGUCUGCAUUCGAUACGGGCAGGCUAGAGUGUGGUAGGGGAGAUCGGAAUUCCUGGUGUAGCGGUGAAAUGCGCAGAUAUCAGGAGGAACACCGGUGGCGAAGGCGGCUCUCUGGAACGGUACUGACGCUGAGACGCGAAAGCGUGGGGAGCGAACAGG